rnacentral:rRNA from 1 species
GAUGAACGCUGGCGGCGUGCCUAAUACAUGCAAGUCGAGCGAACAGACGAGGAGCUUGCUCCUCUGACGUUAGCGGCGGGCGGGUGAGUAACACGUGGAUAACCUACCUAUAAGACUGGGAUAACUUCGGGAAACCGGAGCUAAUACCGGAUAAUAUAUUGAACCGCAUGGUUCAAUAGUGAAAGACAGUUUUGCUGUCACUUAUAGAUGUAUCCGCGCCGCAUUAGCUAGUUGGUAAGGUAACGGCGUACCAAGGCAACGAUGCGUAGCCGACCUGAGAGGGGGAUCGGCCACACUGGAACUGAGACACGGUCCAGACUCCUACGGGAGGCAGCAGUAGGGAAUCUUCCGCAAUGGGCGAAAGCCUGACGGAGCAACGCCGCGUGAGUGAUGAAGGUCUUCGGAUCGUAAAACUCUGUUAUUAGGGAAGAACAAAUGUGUAAGUAACUAUGCACGUCUUGACGGUACCUAAUAAGAAAGCCACGGCUAACUACGUG